rnacentral:tRNA from 1 species
AGCAAAGUGGCCGAUUUAGGCAAAAGACUGUAAAUCUUUCAAUGGCUACAACAAGCCCGUUGCAA